AACGCACAUUGCGCCCCUUGGUAUUCCGAGGGGCAUGCCUGUUCGAGCGUCAUUUAACCUAUCAAGCCCUGCUUGGUGUUGGGUGCUGGCCCCCCCGGGGCCCGCCCGUAACUCGUUGGCGGUGGUUACCGGCUGAAAGCGUAGCAAAAUAUGCUAGAGUCCGGUGGCUGCCCGUCAGGAACCCACACAACCAAAAGUUUGACCUCGGAUCAGGUAGGGAUACCCGCUGAACUUAA
rnacentral:misc_RNA from 1 species